rnacentral:tRNA from 1 species
GAAGAAAUGGCUGAGAGGUUUAAAGCGAUAGAUUGUAAAUCUAUUAGGUAAUCCCUGUCGUAAGUUCAAAUCUUACUUUCUUCA